AGAAUCCAACCUGGCCUUGAGCACUUCCAGGGAUGGGGCAUCCACAGCUUCUCUGGGCAACCUGUGACAGUGCCUCACUACACCUUCCAGUGAACAAUUUCUUCCUAAUGUCUAAUCUAAAUCUACCCUCAUGUAGUUUAAGACCAUUCCCCCUUGCCCUAUAAUUAUCUACCAUAGUAAAGAGUCCUUAUCCACCCUUUUUAUAAGACCCCUUUAAGUACUGAAAGACCUCAGUGAGGUCUCCCUGGAGCCUUCUCUUCUGCAGGCUGAACACCCCCAGCUCUCCCAGCCUUUCUUCAUAGGAGAGAGAAACAUUGUUUAAAGGAACCAUAGGCAUGCUCCAUCCGUCUAUCUCCAAGAGAGAAAGAAGAGCUCUGCCCGGAGUCUCAAUGCCAGCCAUUCAUGGAGACCAGAAAUCACCCUCAUGAUAAGGAAGUCAGAGCCACUCAGCCUCUUCACUGCUCCUACAAACAUUUUUGGUCAUGUGAGUUAUGUUGAAUGUUUCCUUCCUAUGACAUUUAGUACCUCUGGAAUCCCAGAUAAAUUAAACAUCCUUCAGUGUUUUCAGAGCAGCUCAGCACAUUUCUAAAGAAGCACGGGGUGCUUUGGCACUUGGUUGGAAGAUGCAGUUGGAGAAUGGAAAACAACUGGUGCCUGCAAAGUAGGACUUAAAAGUCUUUACACUGGUUCUCAAUGGGGGCUUCAGGAAGGAGGACAACUGGUCACUGACUGUUUCGAUAUAUCUAUGUGCUCAGUAGCUGAAGAUGCUCUGCUGGAAAAAAAGCACAUUUUCCACACCCCAAGGUCUCCUGCUCUCUUCAUGGAGUCAGAAAUUAGGUGCACAGUACUUCUGCCAGCAGUCCUGAACCACUUGGACAAGAGCGAAGCUGAACUAUGUAGGCCUGGAGCUGUGGCCCUCUCUCUUCUACCUCCCAAGCGGGUGGUAUCUGUCCCUGAAUAGUACUUUUGCACAGCAAAUCCUUUUGCUUAGCACCUGUUCCUCACACAGAUUCUUACAGUUUUGACUCAUAGGAUUUCCAUGUGAAACCCAAGCCUGUCCAUGCAUCAUAUGGGGACCUUAGACCCUUCAGUUUAUGUUGAUAAGUCUGACUGGCAACAGCCCAUGCGGUAGUAAUGCAGUAAGGUACAUGAAAAUCUUUACUCCUUUCAUGGCCAUGGGUCCUCCAAAGUCUCAGUGCAGUCACAGAGAUGGCCACACCAUGAGUCCCAGCCCCAGGCUGGCUGCAACCCUGCAACAACCCAACCAAAGAGCGUAACGUCAACCUCAAAGAAAUACAGAGCCAUUCAGCCAGGCAGAUUGAACUGGGCAUCACACAUCAUGUGAGCUGAAACUGGAUCAUGUCCAGACAGUGUGCGCUGGAGAAGGUGUAUUUUAUCAACAUCUGGCUAUAUGUUGCCUGUCCUGGGGGCUAAACUCACGAUGAGAAAGAUAAGCUAAAAAGUGCCCAAACAUUUUUGAAUAUAGACUUUGGAGUCUGACUUUAUUAACACUGAAGGGUGUGAAGAGCUUUUGCUACAUGUGAGGAUUCAAUCCUUAAUCCUAUAAGUACACAGAAAAUACCUACUAAAAAUAUCAAUGUGUCUAAUUUAAAGAAAACUUAUUCCUAUAGGUAUACUUAUCCAACCAUCUUUAAAGAAAUAUAUCUUUCCCUUUUCAGGGCUGAGCAUAGCAACAUACUAAAAAAUGUAAAAACCAAAAAAAAAAAAAAAAUCCCAUGCAACCGUAGGUUCAAAGCCUAAAAUUGCUAGCUUUGGUUCUUUCAGCUUCCUGACAAUUAAAACAGUAACUUAAGGCUUCUACAUCUGCAUUUAGUUUCUCAAUUAAGCAAACAGUUUUCCUAAGGUGUUGCACAUUCAGCAGUUCCUGCUUACUGGCAUUAAUGAAAUGAAUUUACCAGACAAGGACAUGUUGAGGAGCCAUAGAGAUACAAACAAAAUUU
rnacentral:lncRNA from 1 species